CGCGUAGGCGGUAUUGGAAGUCAUGGGUGAAAGUCCUCGGCUCAACCGAGGGAUUGCCUGUGAAACCACAGUACUGGAGUGCUGGAGAGGGAAGUGGAAUUCCCAGUGUAGCGGUGAAAUGCGUAGAUAUUGGGAGGAACACCUGUGGCGAAGGCGGCUUCCUGGACAGACACUGACGCUGAGGCGCGAAAGCCAGGGGAGCGAACG
rnacentral:rRNA from 1 species